rnacentral:rRNA from 1 species
GGGUCAGUAGGUUGGCCGUGCCACCAGUACGUACUGGUCUCACUGAUUCCUCCUUCCUGAAGAACCGUAAUGCCAUUAAUUUGGUGUUGCGGGGAAACAGGACUGUUACUUUGAAAAAAUUAGAGUGUUUAAAGCAAGCUAACGCUUGAAUACAUUAGCAUGGAAUAAUGAAAUAGGACGAUCGAUCCUAUUUUGUUGGUUUCUAGGAUUGACGUA